rnacentral:tRNA from 1 species
ACCUCUGUAGCCCUACGGGAGGGGCACCGGGUCCAGACCCGGCCGGAGCGCGUUCGACUCGCGCCGGAGGUG